rnacentral:lncRNA from 1 species
GCCUGUACGUACAAAGAGUUUUGGCAGUUGUUGUGUCUGAGUGAGAAAAGAAUUCAUGAAAUUUGAGAGAUGUAGUCAUUGAAUGCAUUUUGUGCCAAAGCAAUGAUAAUUGAUCUUUAUUUUGAUGUGUGGAUUUUAUUCCCGAUUUCAUGCUAUCGCACAUGCACAAAUUCAAACAGUUCAGACCCAAAAAGAAGUUCAGCGUGGAUCUGACGUGUCUUUGCGAUGUGAUGUCCGUCUUCUGUCUAAAUCCUCCACAUUGAACUGGGAGAAAGAUGGAGAACACACACCCAACAGCACUCUGAUGUACAACAACUCUGCCUACAUCAUCUUACACACCGUUGAUGAACGCAAUAAAGGGAAUUAUUACUGUAGAUUGAUGGAAGAUGGAAGCGUACAAACUGUUAGGAUUCACACACUUAAUGUUACUUCAAGUUAGUACUUUUACGUUAUUAUGUUAUUCUUACAUUUACAUUACAUUUACAUUUAAUCAUUUAGCAGACGACUCUGCCUACAUCAUCUUACACACCGCUGAUGAACGCAAUAAAGGGAAUUAUUACUGUAGAUUGAUGGAAGAUGGAAGCGUACAAACUGUUAGGAUUCACACACUUAAUGUUACUUCAAAUUUAUAUGGAAGUCAAACCAUUUACAGACAAAGCCCCUUUCACAUCUCACCUGUGAACUUCAAUUAUAGUGGGACAUACAGGUGUAUUACUGAAAACACAAUCUACACAACCACAAUACCAUGCACCAUUAGAGUGGAGCCCCCUGAUGGUGUGUUGAGGAGUCAGUCAGUGGUUCUUACCUGUGAGGUUUCUGAAGUAACUGAUUCAGUGACGCUGGUCUGGUUUAGGAUGGAGGGGAACAGAGGAGUGCUGGUCAAACAGCAAAUUAUGACUGAGAAAAACAACAUGUUACGUCUCACAGUGAAUCUAGCCAGCUAUGAAACAGACCCGCUGCACUGGCAGUGUUCCAGGAGAUGACAGCUGGUUUAAAACCAGUCAUGCAAGUUCAGAGGUGUUGGACAGCAGUACUACAGUCAUCUACUAUCAACUACUGAAGCACAGUGAGCCUUGACACUGGACAUUCUUGUACAAAACUUUGUAUUACUUUUAUUAUUAUUAUUAUUAUUAUAAUUAUUGAAUGUAGUUAAAAAGAGCAAAUAAAUCUUGUAUUAAUAAUAGCGAGCUAGUCAAUCUUGGUUUGCUUUUUUUGGUAUAUGAAUGAAAAUUUUGCUCUUUGCUCAAGUGCAUUAUUGGAGUGCUCAGUCUGUAAGCAAAGGGUCUUUGGGUUUCACUUGAAUAGGAAACACAAAUGCAUCACCAGCACUAUCUCUGAGUAUAAUCAGAUCAAUAUGCUCACAGAAAUAAACCUCAAUGUGGUUUCAUGACACACAACUGAGUUAAAUGUAGCACAGUAUUUCCUGUUAUGGAAAAAAAAACUAAGAUGAUUUAGCCUUGCAAAAACAUUUCAAGUAAGAAUGAAAAAAUAAAUAUAUUUUAAUUGCAAGCAUUUAAAAACCAUGAGAUAUUCAUGAAAAAAAAAUAAUAAUGAUUGCAUUGCAUAUGUGGACUCAAGUCUGUAAAAAGUAAUUUCUGUUCUCAUUUUGAGAUAUAAAAUGUUGUCAAGCACAUUUGAAAUGCUUCUGUUACCACACGUGCAUCAAUAAAUCUAAUAACAAUAACAGUUUCUUAUACCUCUUGUCUAACUACAAUCACCUCCGACACAUGAACACGAAAUUG